rnacentral:snRNA from 1 species
GUGUUCCUCAGUUUGGCAGCCCAUACACUGAAAUUGGAAAGAUAGAGAAAAGAUUAUCAUGGCCCCUGUGCAAGGAUGACAUGCAAAUUCGUGAAGCAUUGCAUAUUAUU